CGGCCCAGGCCACGCCCAGCUGCGAGACCGCGUUUGACGGUUUGUGACUGUGCAGAUUCUUGUUUCUGGUAACUGGACUCAGAAAGAUCUCUGCUGAGCUGUUUCAGGUUUCUCGCUGAUCUCCCGAAAAUGACGGCGCCUUGCUCCUCUCGCAAGGCAUCCCCCUACCGCUCCGAGAGUCCCUUUUCUUCUAGGUGCUUCGUUGGGAUUCUUUUGGUGGCGCUACUGCUCCUGCUUCCCAUAUCCUCCGAUGCCUGUGGUGAGCCACCAAGGUAUGAAUCUAUGCGGCUCCCGGGUGUCCCUAAACCCAGUUAUAGCCCUGGGGAGAGUGUACAGUAUGAAUGUCGCCUAGGUUACCAGCCCAAGCGUCCUCCUCUUCCUACCUCUGCUGUUUGUCAGAAUGAUGGUAUGUGGUCACUUCUCCAGGAGGCCUGUACAAGAAAACAGUGUCCUAACCUAGGGGAUCCCCCAAAUGGCCAAGUAGACUACCCAAAUGGAAGUAUUCUGUUUGGCUCAGAGGCUCAUUAUGUUUGUAAUGUUGGUUAUUUCUUAAUUGGACCAAGUAUUCUAUACUGUGACAUUUCUGGAAGUACUGUGGACUGGAGUGAUACUCCUCCAAUGUGUGAAAAGAUUUUGUGUAAACCACCUGAAAAAAUUCUAAAUGGAAAAUACACAAAUAGCCAUAAGGAUAUAUUUGAAUACAGUGAAGUAGUAACUUAUAGUUGUGAUGCUUCAAAUGGAACAGAUCAAUAUUCACUUGUUGGAGAGAGCAAGCUUGUUUGUAUUGGAAAUGACAAAUGGAGUAGUGACCCUCCUCAGUGUAAAGGAUAUCCCAGUCCCAGUGAUGAACCACCACCUAAAGAUGCUGAGAGUUUAGGUGCAGGAAUCAUUGUUGCAAUUGUCAUUGGUACACUUUUUGGCAUUGUAGUAGUCUGCAGCAUCUACUUCGGUUUUCACAAAGAGAAGAAAAGGUUGCAGUAAAACUGAUGGGGUUAAACUAAAAGUUGCUGAGAGGCUCCAGAGUCAGUAGCCCUGAGUGGCUGCCGAGGACGUCAGAAGUGGCUCAUCCUACUUAAGGAAAGAAGGUAUUGCUACAUACAGCGCUUGCCAGGAUAAGGCAACCACUCCAGCACAGCAGAUGGACUAAAUGGUUUCCACAAACCCAUGUAUCAUUCAGCCAUGAAAAUGAAGGAAAUCCUACCAUUUGAGACAAUACAGAUGGACCUUGAGGGCAUUAUGCUGGGUGAAUAAGUCAUAUAAAGAAAGACAAGUACUGUAUGAUCUCACUUAUAUGUGGAAUCCAAUAAAACAAGCUUAUAGAAAAAGAAAUCAGAUUUACCUUCAUCAGAGGUAGUGGGCUGGGGGUGGCAGUUGAGUAAAGGCAGUCAGAAAAUAUAAACUUCCAAUUAUAAGAUAAAAACCUACUGGGAUGUAAUGUACAGCAUAGUGACUACAGUUAGUAACACUGUAUUGUAUUUUGGCAAGCUGCUAAUAAGAAAGUGGAUCUUAAAACUUCUAAUCACAUGGAAGAAAAAAAUUUUUUUGUAGGUACAUGAAGUGAUGGAUGUUAACUAAAUUUAUCGUGUAAUCAUUUUGCAAUAUAUACAUGAUCAAAUCAUGCUGUACACCUUAAACUUAUGCAGCGUUAUAUGUUAGUUAUAUUUCAAUACUGAAAAAAAAAUGUAUAAAAAUUAUUUGCUAGUUUCUUACACUGUCAGGAAUGGAACUGUUAAGCUAUAGGGCUAACAUUUUAAUGUGGCUGAAGUACAGUCACCAUCAUUUAAUGCUUCUUUGAAAUGUGUAUGAAUUUGUGUUUGAAUAUCUUGCUUGUUUUUCCUUAAAUAACGCUGGUAUUUAUAAGGGCAACUUAACACAGUAUUGCGACUAGCGUUAAGGUGGGGAAAUAUUUUUUCUAUAAAAUCUCCAAACUCAGAGAACUAUAAUUCAAAAUGGCAUUACAUUUCAUUUGUAAAGAAAGUGAUUUUGAAAUCUUUUCUGUUCAAAGAUGACUGCCAACUCUUAAGAUUCAUUCUUCAACAAUCCCAAAAUAUGCAUUAUAUAUUGUUUAUUAUAAAAGUUUGAUUUCCUUAACUAAGAAUAUUACCGGAAAAUACUCUUACAGUUAAUAGGUUAAAAUACUAUUUUAAAAAAUUUGUAACCUCUUGGUGAUUUAAAGAUGCUAUAAAGUUUAUUUCUGGCAUUUGUUCUUCACCCCUUUUAAUAACAAUAAACCAGUCUAAGAAAUCAAGAAGAAUUCAGCAUCAGUUGCAUGCUUCUGUACAAAGUUAGAGGGCUUCUAACACCCAUAGCAGGAAUGCCAGCUCAGGACAAAGUGAACACUGUGGACUUGUAGUUUUCUUAAAAAGAAUUCCACUCUUUAAGAGAAUUAGAAUCCACUCUAAAUUCUGUUUUUCUCUCCCCACCUGAAUAAAGAGAUGUCUUACUUUAAACAUGUCAUCUGAAUGUAGGCAGUUUUGUAGGGAAUAAAUUCAUCAGAUAACCUCAAGUUGCAUUAGAAUCUGAGUCUCACCUCAUCUGUAAAGGGCAGAGUAAAAAUGAAGCCCCAUAUUUCAGAAAAGCAAACUUAACUUUGUAGAUUUGCUGUAGGUCAUGCAAAGGGAUGGAAAGAAGAAUGAGCUCAGGUAGCUCUUGACGCUCAGGUGGGACAGAUCCCAGCCCUCUUCUCUGUCCUCACACCAGGCAGGGCCUCCUUCAAAUAAGCCAGCGGCCAAAGAGGAGGGACUGUCUCUCUAACUCCAAUUACAUUUUUACAUGUUUUGUUUCACACUUUUAUAGUUAGUAGCACAAACUGGGCCAAAGAAACGUUGCCUUAGAAAUAGAUGAAUAAAGAAUCAAGAGUGAACCGGAGUAAAUAUUGUUUUACUCCCUCAGGACAUGUUUGUAAGGCCAUGUAAGUGGUCCUUCCCUUUGUAGUCUCUGGUGAGGCACUUUAGGAAGAUAAAUUUGAGGAGAAUAAAUUCAGGAAUUCUGAGAUAAAUAUAGAGUUGAAGUUUUGCUGUACCCUCUUCCACAUAAUUUUUGAGAAUCUAGCACUUGCUUAGAAGCAAGGGGGUGGCUAUAGUACAUAUUUUUAAAACCCUCAAAGAAGUGUUUUCAACCAAGGAUUAUUAUGCUUACCAAAAUAAAUUGACUUUCAUAGUAUAGUUUCCACUUCAAGAUUAGUUUUUCUAAUUUAUUUAUAUGUAAGAUUGAAAUAUGUGUGGAAAUAUAAAUUAUGUUCUGUUUGUCAAAUAAUUUGUCAAUUAAAUAUAGGGGGACACCAUUUUUCUCUAGAAAUGUUUAUUUAAAUGAGAGAGGGAAAAGUGUAUUUUAAUUUAAAGCUUUCUUAAAACUGCAUUUUGAGAAUUGGACCUUCAGAUCUAUUAAAAAAAUAAAACGUCAUUAUGGAGAAGU